CUCACAGUAAUUCUUUACCUACUUGAAACUUCAGUUUAAAUCAAGAUUCCCUUGUUUUUCUAUUCCAAUAUUGGUUUUUGCACCCCAGUCUUUCACUAGUUGAAUUCUGGGCCUUAUUUCUGGGCAAGCUAGAGGUUAUGAUAAAGUUGCAAGUUUUAUAUUCCCUCAGAUGAUCCAUGAAUCAGAGACUUUCAGUUUAGAAAGGUGGUUUUAUGGCCAGAAUGGGAGCCAUGUGGCAAACAUAUGUUGUAUGUUAAAAAUUUGAGACAUUAAGCACCAUUUACUUUUCAGUUAUCACUAACAAAAUUUCAAAGAUGUUGUAUUCAUUUGCUAAGGUAGCCAUAACAAAGUAUCACAGGCUGAGUGGCCUGAGCAAGAAAAACUUAAUUUCUCACAAUUCUGGAGGCUAUAAGUUCAAGAGCAAGGUGUUGGCAAGGUUGGUUUCUUUUGAGACCUCUCUCCUUGGCUUGUGGAUGACCGUCUUCUCCCUGUGUCUUCACAUGGUCUUUUCUGUCUGUGUGUCUGCAUCCUAAUCUCUUCUUUUUAUAAAGACACCAGUGAUGUUAGAUUGGUGCCCAUCCUAAUGAUCUCAUUUUAACAUAAUUACUUCUUUAAAGACCCUAUAUCCAAAUAAGUUACAUUCUGAGAUACUAGGGGUUAGUACUUCAACUUAUGAUUUUUGGGAGGACAUAACAGAUGUGUUUGUAAACCAACAUGUUAGACACCAAAUUCUUGGCUUUUAAGAGUCAUCACUUGGGAUUCACUUCUAAGCAAGGGAAGAGUUGAAAGAGAAAUCAAAGUGAAGGAACAAAUUUAGAUAAAGCUGGAGAGGAUUUUGGAAGCUCCCUUAAGCCUGCAAAUCUGAGAGUAGAUUGGACAUGUGCCCUGUUCCCAAUGCGAGGGCUGUACUUGUGUAAUCCAAAGGUUUUCCAAGAGCCUAGAGUGACUCAUUCAAGUUAGGAGAGUGAGAGAGACAAAAGUCAGGUUGGUGGGGAGAAGAAAGGAGACUAACGUCAAAGGGAUAUGGGGAGAACCACCUCAUCAUGACUAAGAAUGAUAUCUCCAUUGGAUCAUCAUUACAGAGCACAAGGAGUAAUGAAAGCCAGCUGCCAAUCUCAGAAGCAAGCUCUAGUAAUCAUCCAUGGUGACAAAUGAAUGGAACAAGGUCAGAUGUCAGCAACAGAUUCCAGCAGAGGACUAAAAUAUAGACUAGUCUAAAAAAGAGAACUGCUCUGUCUUUGGAGAUGUCAGGUGGAGGUUUUGUAAUCCCUGAACGUAUAGAAACAGAACUCGGAAGGAACAAUGACAGCUGUGAGAGGUGGGAAAUGAAUGCACGGGGCUAAACUAUAAAUCAAAAGUCACUGAGAAAUUAUAGGAUUGGGUUGAGAAAAGUCAGAAUUGAGCUGUGACUAGGUAAACUGAGGGCUCAAAGCCAAAAAUAAAAUUAAAUUAUGGAAAUGAAGUUAUAGAAAUAAAAUUCCAUUUCUGCAUGCCCAAGUCUUAAGGCCUAUGGUGACUGUGAAAAUUCGCUUGUUAUAUGGACCUGUACUUCUUGCUCCCAUGCCCAUAGCAGACAUUGUAAUCAAUCUUUAUUCAUCCUUCUUCAUUCAGCCCAGAGGUAGGCACAAGUUUUUCACUACAGCAUUGCAAGAAGUUCUUAUCAAUUGGUCAGAAUUGGCAUGGAAAGUAAAACUAAUUUGCCAUACAUGUAAUAAAGGAAUGCAUUUGAG
rnacentral:lncRNA from 1 species